GAAAAUCUAAGACAGAACAGUGAAGUAGGAUGUUACAGCAAGCCAAACACAAGAACAGUGGUUCUAAAACUCCAUCCUGCAGCAGGAUCAUCUGGAAUGCUUAAAGAAAGAAGGUUUCAGAACCAUUGCAUUAGAUGGAGGAGAUUCCCUUUGCCGGCAUUUGAAAUCUGUAUGGAAGUACACCAUCAGCAAAUCCCCUCGUCAUCUGUCUGCUCUUCUCUCCUGCCUUUGCCCCUAAGUGCCAUCCAGGUGGCUUUCUUUUUUAUUUCUUCUUCUUUUUUUAAUGUACGGAUCUACUGAUGGAGGUUGGGAGGGACACUCUUAUCAUUGUGAGAAAUUAUAAGCAGACUCCAUCUGCAUUCAGAAAUCACAAAGGGAAGUAAAACAGCUAUGCCUGCAUAAUCCAGAUGUUGAUGAAUACAGGGACCCAGAAUGCCCUUCCAUCCUUCAAAAACAUUCCAAAGCCCAACCUACAAUCAAAAUCAAGACCAUCCAACAGCAAGGAGUUGAACAAUAAAACUUAAUUACUAUAACACUUGCAAGGCCAAGAUUCAAUAGAUUAUGUGCUCUUAAUCAAAAUAUAGAAUAUAUCUCUAAAAUAAACUUCGCAGUUUCCCAAGAUCAGAAUUCUCUUAAAACGAAAAUAAAAGCUUUGGUUUGUACCAAAUAUGUUUGUUUUUCCUGCCUAAUAAUUCCUAGCUUAGAGGAUAAGUUAAUAUUUUUUAAGUAAAGGACUAAUAUAUAUCUACAGUAGUGCCUUUUUUUUCUUUCUUUCUUUUCUUUUCUUUUUUUUUUU
rnacentral:lncRNA from 10 species